UGGGGUUGUGGCUCAGUGGUAGAGCACUUGCCUAGCAUGUGUGAGGCCCUGGGUUCAAUCCUCAGCACCACAA
rnacentral:tRNA from 1 species